UUACACGAACGAAGGCCAGUUCAAUGUAUAACUACUAGCGAAUUUCUUUAUUCCACGGGGUUAGUGCCAACUUUCGUGUGGAAUAAAAAAACGAUCUCGAUCUCGAUCUACGAUCUAAAGCCUUGCGUUGGUGUCCGUGAGACUAUGUGCAAUCAUCACCCGCGUGUUUUGACCGUUUUGACAGAUACGAUGUAAUAGUAUUGGUGAACCCACUCGCAAAACUGACAAAAAUCACAGUGCGAACCUGUCUGUUUUGCAGGCGCUUCCAGGUCAAAACUGGGUCAAUAUCGAGCGAAUAAAGAAGGGGUUUGACAGCAGUUAGUGCGCUUUUAGGUCAAAACGAGGUGAGCUGGUGGAAUAAAGAAAUUCGCUAUACGAUUCAGUGCGGGAUCAAAUAAUCGGCAACGAUAAGUAUUUCUACUGCAUUCGCGAAUUUUUCGUCGGACUGGCAUCAGAUUAUCAAUGUGGAUUUUCAUCAAUUCAUUCCGCAGAAUUAGUGAUUUCCUUGGUGAGUCAAGUGUGCGAAAAAGGGUUUAAUUUUCCAGCUAUCAGUGGACUAUAUGACCAAGAAACGGAGGAUUUAUGGACUGAACUUUAUGUGACCAUCGACCAUCAUUAUUUAACUCGCCACAAAACCGAGCAACCAGUCUAUAUAUUUGCCUGCAGUCUAUCGACGUUGUCUUCAAUUUACUAGAUCCUUCUGCAAAAAGGUUUCCUGAUGCAGGAUGAUGUGGUCGUCAAAAAAUGUCCUAAAAACACUCCAGGAAUCUAACCAUUUGAAUAUUCCGCUAAAUUUAAAAAUAACGAAACAUUACUUGCCCACAAAGAAUUCAAAUGGAUAAUAUUCGCCUGUCCGAGCACUUGAUUUGAGACAACCCAAGCACUAAAGAUCCUUUAAAAGGAAGUAGAGGAAUGUGUUUCUGUGACGGCGCCCAUGUUCGAAAUGUUUCGUGACUGAUAUUUAAUAGUUUAACGCACUACUUGCAGAACAAGACACCGCGAAAGGGGUGUAAAAGUUAUACAAUAUUGAAUCGAUAGCAACUGAGAGAUUAACAUCUCAAACUCCUAAUCGGAUUCUACGCGGUAAUAACGGAUCACGAUCCGUUGUCAGUUACGAACAAAGUGCUGAACAUGUGCUGCUAGAACAUGGAAACCGUGCCCAAAACAAAGCUGGCUUCAAACUGGAAAAGGAACUAGCGAAUGGUACCGAGCAAGAAGCACGACCUUUUCUAACCAAACACGUCGCGGGUGAACUUCAGAAUCGAUAUGAGUAGAUGGGGUCCCAAACUUUCGUCAUCGAGCAGAAAAAUAUCUGUUCUGUGGACGAAGCAGGCCAAAAGGCUUGUCGUA